rnacentral:rRNA from 1 species
AGUUUGAUCCUGGCUCAGAACGAACGCUGGCGGCAUGCCUAACACAUGCAAGUCGAACGAAGCCUUCGGGCUUAGUGGCGCACGGGUGCGUAACGCGUGGGAAUCUGCCCUUGGGUUCGGAAUAACAGUUAGAAAUGACUGCUAAUACCGAAUGAUGUCUUCGGACCAAAGAUUUAUCGCCCAAGGAUGAGCCCGCGUCGGAUUAGCUAGUUGGUGAGGUAAAGGCUCACCAAGGCGACGAUCCGUAGCUGGUCUGAGAGGAUGAUCAGCCACACUGGGACUGAGACACGGCCCAGACUCCUACGGGAGGCAGCAGUGGGGAAUAUUGGACAAUGGGCGAAAGCCUGAUCCAGCAAUGCCGCGUGAGUGAUGAAGGCCUUAGGGUUGUAAAGCUCUUUUACCCGGGAUGAUAAUGACAGUACCGGGAGAAUAAGCCCCGGCUAACUCCGUG